rnacentral:lncRNA from 10 species
UCCCAAAUUGCUGGGAUUACAGGCUUGUUUGGACUGAGUUCCAGAUCUGGGCUGUCAUGGAACAUAACAGGGACCCUUCAUGGGGACAGCAAGAAGGUUCACCGACCCAAUUCAGAGGAAGGAAGAGCCUGGCCUUCAAAAUUACUAUGACCAUCAGAAUGCCCUAGGAGAUCAAAGAAAUAACGGAGUGGGUGUGAGACCUUUUACAAAUGUGUGCACUCAAGCAGUGCAAAGGCAAACCUCCUGAAGGCGUUGUAACAUCUCACUAAGCCCAGCACUCAGGCGAUGUGGCUUUCCUGCUAUGGCACUGCACACAAGAAGAAUGUUGACAUAUUCCUGGCCCAGAAUUCAGGUGAUGUGACUCUUGCCUGAUCCACACCCAGAGGUGGUUUGGUGACUCUCAAACCAUGAUUCAGCAGACCUGUGAGGCUGUGAGUUCCCUAUCAGAACACAAUCUGCAGGUUGUAUUGUGCCAUAUACCUGGGACCAAAUUACAAGCACAAUGAUGAAUCUUUUACCUGGAGUCAAGACAUGGGCAGGAUGAUGGAACUUAUCACUGGACCUUUCCACAGUGUUAUUGUGACAUAUGCCUUUGCCCAACAUGUGGUGAUUUGACUCCCCAGACUGGGUCCAGUUCACAAAUAAAAUUGUGCCGUAUACUUGGCCAAGAACCUAAUAGGUGUAAUUGAUGUGCCUGGG